UAGUAUUCAAUUGUCAGAGGUGAAAUCCUUGGAUUUAUUGAAGACUAACUACUGCGAAAGCAUUUGCCAAGGAUGUUUUCAUUAAUCAAGAACGAAAGUUAGGGGAUCAAAGACGAUCAGAUACCGUCGUAGUCUUAACCAUAAACUAUGCCGACUAGGGAUCGGAUGAUGUUAAUUUUUUAAUGACUCA
rnacentral:rRNA from 1 species